AGUUCUCAACCUUCUUCAUUCUUCUUGGGGAAUGGCUUGGACUUUGGAGGCUUUUGCCGAUCUGCUCUUGAUCGAGUAUCGGCUCCUCUUAAAUGGAUUAGUAGGGUUCCUUUUUAGCUGGUCCUCGACGUGAUAAGUCUUUUCUACGUCUGGAACUUAGCUUAUAUGAGGCCUGCUUCUAAUCGUCUCUCGAGACAAAAUCAAUUGUGAUCUGAACCC
rnacentral:misc_RNA from 1 species